UUUGGCUGGGGCUGAUGGUGUGGCAGUUUAUGUAGUCUCCCCCUUCUCCAGCACUUCUGGUACAUUAGCGAGAAGCUAUUGGAAACAGCAUUGAAUUAUCAUAGCCAUUUGUGACUCAGCUACCUUAUAACUCUCCUAUGCUUUGACAUCUCCAGGGUGGUGUCUGUAUGCAGGUGUAUGGUGGGCUGGUGAAAUGGCUAACAGGUGGUGAGCCUGGGCGUAGUGGCAGUAAAGGUUCGAUGUGAGCGACACCAUUGACCGGUCUAGGUGGUGUAUAACCAUUCCAACGUGCAGGCUCUGGAAGCAGCUGACUCACCGUGUGUGUGUGGGGUUGUGUGUGGUUGUGUGUUGUGUGUUGUGUGUUGUGUGUGUGUGUGUGUG